rnacentral:misc_RNA from 1 species
GAUGAAGAACGUAGCGAAAUGCGAUAAGUAGUGUGAAUUGCAGAAUUCAGUGAAUCAUCGAAUCUUUGAACGCACAAUGCGCCCGCCAGUAUUCUGGCGGGCAUGCCUGUUCGAGCGUCAUUACAACCCUCAGGCCCCCGGGCCUGGCGUUGGGGAUCGGCGGAAGCCCCCUGCGGGCACAACGCCGUCCCCCAAAUACAGUGGCGGUCCCGCCGCAGCUUCCAUUGCGUAGUAGCUAACACCUCGCAACUGGAGAGCGGCGCGGCCACGCCGUAAAACACCCAACUUCUGAAUGUUGACCUCGAAUCAGGUAGGAAUACCCGCUGAACUUAAGCAUAUCAAUAAGCGGAGGA